rnacentral:rRNA from 1 species
AGCGAACGCUGGCGGCGUGCUUAACACAUGCAAGUCGAACGCUCGUAGCAAUACGAGAGCGGCGGACGGGUGAGUAACGCGUGGGAAUCUACCUAGCGGCGGGGAAUAACGUCGGGAAACUGCGGCUAAUACCGCAUACGUCCUUCGGGAGAAAGGCUUCGGCCACCGCUUGAGGAGCCCGCGUCCGAUUAGCUAGUUGGUGAGGUAACGGCUCACCAAGGCGACGAUCGGUAGCUGGUCUGAGAGGAUGAUCAGCCACACUGGGACGGAGACACGGCCCAGACUCCUACGGGAGGCAGCAGUGGGGAAUAUUGGACAAUGGGGGAAACCCUGAUCCAGCGACGCCGCGUGGGUGAUGAAGGCCUUCGGGUUGUAAAGCCCUUUCGUCCACGAUGAUGAUGACAGUAGUGGAAGAAGAAGCUCCGGCUAACUUCGUGCCAGCCGCCGCGGUAA